rnacentral:rRNA from 1 species
GCUUACGGCCACACCGGCCUGAGUACGCCUGAUCUCGUCCGAUCUCGGAAGCUAAGCAGGGUCGGUCGGGCUGGUUAGUACUUGGAUGGGAGACCGCCUGGGAAUACCAGGUGCUGUAAGCU